AACGAACGCUGGCGGCAGGCCUAACACAUGCAAGUCGAGCGAAGCCUUCGGGCUUAGCGGCGGACGAGUGAGUAACGCGUGGGAACGUGCCCUUUGGUACGGAAUAGCCCCGGGAAACUGGGAGUAAUACCGUAUGUGGUCGAGAGACGAAAGAUUUAUCGCCAAAGGAUCGGCCCGCGUUGGAUUAGGUAGUUGGUGGGGUAAUGGCCUACCAAGCCGACGAUCCAUAGCUGGUUUGAGAGGAUGAUCAGCCACACUGGGACUGAGACACGGCCCAGACUCCUACGGGAGGCAGCAGUGGGGAAUCUUAGACAAUGGGGGAAACCCUGAUCUAGCCAUGCCGCGUGAUCGAUGAAGGCCUUAGGGUUGUAAAGAUCUUUCAGUGGGGAAGAUAAUGACUGUACCCACAGAAGAAGCCCCGGCUAACUCCAUGCCAGCCGCCGCCGUAAAAC
rnacentral:rRNA from 1 species